rnacentral:rRNA from 1 species
GAUGAACGCUGACAGAAUGCUUAACACAUGCAGUCACUGAUUUUGCCGGACGGGUGCGUAACGCGUAAAGAACUUGCCCCGCCGGUAGGGGCAACAUAUGGAAACGAAUGCUAAUACCUAAUACUGUGAGAGAGCUUUGCGUCCCAUUAGCUAGUUGGGGAGGUAACGGCUCACCAAGGCGAUGAUGGGUAGCCGGCCUGGGAGUGUGAUCGGCCACAAGGGGACUGGGACACGGCCCUUACUCAUACGGGAGGCAGCAGUGGGGAAUAGUGGACAAUGGACCAAAGUCUGAUCCAGCAAUUCUGUGUGCACGAUGAAGUUUUCGGAAUGUAAAGUGCUUUCAGUUGGGAAGCGGUACCAACAGAAGAAGUGACGGCUAAAUACGUGCCAGCAGCCGCGGUAAUAC